rnacentral:rRNA from 1 species
CCUGGCUCACGAUGAACGCUAGCUACAGGCUUAACACAUGCAAGUCGAGGGGCAUCAGGAAGAAAGCUUGCUUUCUUUGCUGGCGACCGGCGCACGGGUGAGUAACACGUAUCCAACCUGCCCUUUACUCGGGGAUAGCCUUUCGAAAGAAAGAUUAAUACCCGAUAGCAUAAUGAUUCCGCAUGGUUUCAUUAUUAAAGGAUUCCGGUAAAGGAUGGGGAUGCGUUCCAUUAGGUUGUUGGUGAGGUAACGGCUCACCAAGCCUUCGAUGGAUAGGGGUUCUGAGAGGAAGGUCCCCCACAUUGGAACUGAGACACGGUCCAAACUCCUACGGGAGGCAGCAGUGAGGAAUAUUGGUCAAUGGGCGCUAGCCUGAACCAGCCAAGUAGCGUGAAGGAUGAAGGCUCUAUGGGUCGUAAACUUCUUUUAUAUAAGAAUAAAGUGCAGUAUGUAUACUGUUUUGUAUGUAUUAUAUGAAUAAGGAUCGGCUAACUCCGUGCCAGCAGCCGCGGUAAUACGGAGGAUCCGAGCGUUAUCCGGAUUUAUUGGGUUUAAAGGGAGCGUAGGUGGACUGGUAAGUCAGUUGUGAAAGUUUGCGGCUCAACCGUAAAAUUGCAGUUGAUACUGUCAGUCUUGAGUACAGUAGAGGUGGGCGGAAUUCGUGGUGUAGCGGUGAAAUGCUUAGAUAUCACGAAGAACUCCGAUUGCGAAGGCAGCUCACUGGACUGCAACUGACACUGAUGCUCGAAAGUGUGGGUAUCAAACAGGAUUAGAUACCCUGGUAGUCCACACAGUAAACGAUGAAUACUCGCUGUUUGCGAUAUACAGUAAGCGGCCAAGCGAAAGCAUUAAGUAUUCCACCUGGGGAGUACGCCGGCAACGGUGAAACUCAAAGGAAUUGACGGGGGCCCGCACAAGCGGAGGAACAUGUGGUUUAAUUCGAUGAUACGCGAGGAACCUUACCCGGGCUUAAAUUGCAGUGGAAUGAUGUGGAAACAUGUCAGUGAGCAAUCACCGCUGUGAAGGUGCUGCAUGGUUGUCGUCAGCUCGUGCCGUGAGGUGUCGGCUUAAGUGCCAUAACGAGCGCAACCCUUAUCUUUAGUUACUAACAGGUCAUGCUGAGGACUCUAGAGAGACUGCCGUCGUAAGAUGUGAGGAAGGUGGGGAUGACGUCAAAUCAGCACGGCCCUUACGUCCGGGGCUACACACGUGUUACAAUGGGGGGUACAGAAGGCAGCUAGCGGGUGACCGUAUGCUAAUCCCAAAAUCCUCUCUCAGUUCGGAUCGAAGUCUGCAACCCGACUUCGUGAAGCUGGAUUCGCUAGUAAUCGCGCAUCAGCCACGGCGCGGUGAAUACGUUCCCGGGCCUUGUACACACCGC